AUGAACGCUGGCGGCGUGCCUAAUACAUGCAAGUCGAGCGAACGGACGAGAAGCUUGCUUCUCUGAUGUUAGCGGCGGACGGGUGAGUAACACGUGGAUAACCUACCUAUAAGACUGGGAUAACUUCGGGAAACCGGAGCUAAUACCGGAUGAUAUUUUGAACCGCAUGGUUCAAAAGUGAAAGACGGUCCUGCUGUCACUUAUAGAUGGAUCCGCGCUGCAUUAGCUAGUUGGUAAGGUAACGGCUUACCAAGGCAACGAUGCAUAGCCGACCUGAGAGGGUGAUCGGCCACACUGGAACUGAGACACGGUCCAGACUCCUACGGGAGGCAGCAGUAGGGAAUCUUCCGCAAUGGGCGAAAGCCUGACGGAGCAACGCCGCGUGAGUGAUGAAGGUCUUCGGAUCGUAAAACUCUGUUAUUAGGGAAGAACAUAUGUGUAAGUAACUGUGCACAUCUUGACGGUACCUAAUCAGAAAGCCACGGCUAACUACGUG
rnacentral:rRNA from 1 species